UGAGACAUUAGGUUGUAUGAAACUUCCAUGUGUAGCUUCGGUCCAUAGUUAGAACAUACAUAAAGGACCUCAUAAUCAAUGUUCCAAAAAUCUAACGUACGCAAUAUUUAUACACUUACCAUAUCUUAUGAAAAUGAUAAGAGAAACAUUGAAAUAUUUGGGACUUCAACUCUUGACCCACGUUUGAAAUAAUAAACUAUAUUUGUAUUUGUGUAUAUU
rnacentral:lncRNA from 1 species